rnacentral:rRNA from 1 species
UGGGGAAUUUUGGACAAUGGACGCAAGUCUGGUCCAGCCAUGCCGCGUGCGGGAAGAAGGCCUUCGGGUUGUAAACCGCUUUUGUCAGGGAAGAAACGAGUUUCUCUAAUACAGAGACUUAAUGACGGUACCUGAAGAAUAAGCACCGGCUAACUACGUGCCAGCAGCCGCGGUAAUACGUAGGGUGCGAGCGUUAAUCGGAAUUACUGGGCGUAAAGCGUGCGCAGGCGGUUAUAUAAGACAGAUGUGAAAUCCCCGGGCUCAACCUGGGAACUGCCUUUGUGACUGCAUAGCUAGAGUACGGUAGAGGGGGAUGGAAUUCCGCGUGUAGCAGUGAAAUGCGCAGAUAUGCGGAGGAACACCGAUGGCGAAGGCAAUCCCCUGGACCUGUACUGACGCUCAUGCACGAAAGCGUGGGGAGCAAACA